UACGUAGGGGGCGAGCGUUGUCCGGAGUUACUGGGCGUAAAGCGCACGCAGGCGGUCUGCUAAGUUUGGAGUGACAGUUGGUGGCUUAACUGCCAAAGUGCUUCGAAAACUGACAGACUUGAGGGCUUCAGAGGGACACGGAAUUCCGGGUGGAGUGGUGAAAUGCGUAGAGAUCCGGAGGAACACCAACGGCGAAAGCACUCUGCUGGGCCGACACUGACACUGAGAGACGAAAGCUAGGGGAGCAAAUGGG
rnacentral:rRNA from 1 species